GGGCGUGUAGCGCAGUGGCUAGCGCGUCCCCCUCCGGAGGGGAAGGCCGGGAGUUCGAACCUCCCCUCGCUCG